UGCCAGCAGCCGCGGUAAUACGGAGGGUGCAAGCGUUAUCCGGAUUCACUGGGUUUAAAGGAUGCGUAGGCGGAUUAUCAAGUCAGUGGUGAAAGCCUCGAGCUCAACUCGAGAACUGCCAUUGAAACUGAUGAUCUUGAAUAUAGACGAAGUGGGCGGAAUGUAGCGUGUAGCGGUGAAAUGCUUAGAUAUGCUACAGAACACCAAUUGCGAAGGCAGCUUGCUAGACUAUUAUUGACGCUGAGGCAUGAAAGCGUGGGUAGCGAACAGGAUUAGAUA
rnacentral:rRNA from 1 species